rnacentral:rRNA from 1 species
GACAGAGGGGGCAAGCGUUGUCCGGAGUAACUGGGCGUAAAGCGCACGCAGGCGGCUGCGCACGUGGAGUGUGAAAGCGCUCGGCUUAACCGAGCGAGGCCAUUCCAUACGGCGCGGCUCGAGCCGUGCAGAGGCUAGUGGAAUUGCCGGUGGAGUAGUGAAAUACGUAGAUACCGGCAGGAACGCCAAUGGAGAAGUCAACUAGCUGGGCACGUGCUGACGCUGAGGUGCGACAGCGUGGGGAGCAAACUGG